UACAGAGGAUGCAAGCGUUAUCCGGAAUGAUUGGGCGUAAAGCGUCUGUAGGUGGCUUUUUAAGUCCGCCGUCAAAUCCCAGGGCUCAACUCUGGACAGGCGGUGGAAACUACCAAGCUGGAGUACGGUAGGGGCAGAGGGAAUUUCCGGUGGAGCGGUGAAAUGCGUAGAUAUCGGUAGGAACACCAGUGGCGAAGGCGGUCUCCUGGGGCAUUCUUGACGCUGAGGCGCGAAAGCUGGGGGAGCAAACGGG
rnacentral:rRNA from 1 species